rnacentral:rRNA from 1 species
GUGGGGAAUCUUCCGCAAUGGACGAAAGUCUGACGGAGCAACGCCGCGUGAGUGAAGAAGGUUUUCGGAUCGUAAAGCUCUUUCGUUAGGGACGAACGUGCUCUUUGUGAAUAAUGAGGAGUAAUGACGGUACCUAAAUAAGAAGCCACGGCUAACUACGUGCCAGCAGCCGCGUUAAUACGUAGGUGGCAAGCGUUGUCCGGAAUUAUUGGGCGUAAAGCGCGCGCAGGCGGGAUAUCAAGUCUGUCUUAAAAGUGCGGGGCUCAACCUCGUGAGGGGACAGAAACUGGUAUUCUUGAGUGUCGGAGAGGAAAGUGGAAUUCCAAGUGUAGCGGUGAAAUGCGUAGAGAUUUGGAAGAACACCAGUGGCGAAGGCGACUUUCUGGACGAUGUCUGACGCUGAGGCGCGAAAGCUAGGGGAGCGAACGGGAUUAGAAACCCGUGUAGUCC